rnacentral:rRNA from 1 species
UGGGGAAUAUUGGACAAUGGGCGGAAGCCUGAUCCAGCAACGCCGCGUGAGGGAUGACGGCCUUCGGGUUGUAAACCUCUUUCAGUACCGACGAAGCGGAAGUGACGGUAGGUACAGAAGAAGGACCGGCCAACUACGUGCCAGCAGCCGCGGUAAUACGUAGGGUCCGAGCGUUGUCCGGAAUUAUUGGGCGUAAAGGGCUCGUAGGCGGUUUGUCGCGUCGGGAGUGAAAACAGCGGGCUUAACUCGUUGCUUGCUUUCGAUACGGGCAGACUAGAGGUAUGCAGGGGAGAAUGGAAUUCCUGGUGUAGCGGUGAAAUGCGCAGAUAUCAGGAGGAACACCGGUGGCGAAGGCGGUUCUCUGGGCAUUACCUGACGCUGAGGAGCGAAAGUGUGGGGAGCGAACAGGAUUAGAUACCCUGGUAGUCCACACCGUAAACGUUGGGCGCUAGGUGUGGGGUCCUUUCCACGGAUUCCGUGCCGUAGCUAACGCAUUAAGCGCCCCGCCUGGGGGAGUACGGCCGCAAGGCUCAAAAAC